AUUGAACGCUGGCGGCAUGCUUUACACAUGCAAGUCGAACGGCAGCGCGGGCUUCGGCCUGUCGGCGAGUGGCGGACGGGUGGGUAAUACAUCGGAACGUGCCCAGUUGCGGGGGAUAGCUCGGCGAAAGCCGGAUUAAUACCGCAUACGACCUGAGGGUGAAAGCGGGGGAUCUUCGGACCUUGCGACAUUGGAGGGGCCGAUGGCAGAUUAGCUAGUUGGUGGGGUAAAGGCCUACCAAGGCGACGAUCCGUAGCUGGUCUGAGAGGACGACCAGCCACACUGGGACUGAGACACGGCCCAGACUCCUACGGGAGGCAGCAGUGGGGAAUUUUGGACAAUGGGCGAAAGCCUGAUCCAGCAAUGCCGCGUGUGUGAUGAAGGCCUUCGGGUUGUAAAGCACUUUUGGCGGGAACGAAAAGGACUGUGCCAAUACCACGGUUCGAUGACGGUACCCGAAGAAUAAGCACCGGCUAACUACGUG
rnacentral:rRNA from 1 species